rnacentral:rRNA from 1 species
AUUGAACGCUGGCGGCAUGCUUUACACAUGCAAGUCGAACGGCAGCACGGGCUUCGGCCUGGUGGCGAGUGGCGAACGGGUGAGUAAUAUAUCGGAACGUACCCAAGAGCGGGGGAUAACGUAGCGAAAGUUACGCUAAUACCGCAUACGAUCUACGGAUGAAAGUGGGGGAUCGCAAGACCUCAUGCUCCUGGAGCGGCCGAUAUCUGAUUAGCUAGUUGGUGAGGUAAAGGCUCACCAAGGCGACGAUCAGUAGCUGGUCUGAGAGGACGACCAGCCACACUGGAACUGAGACACGGUCCAGACUCCUACGGGAGGCAGCAGUGGGGAAUUUUGGGCAAUGGGCGCAAGCCUGAUCCAGCAAUGCCGCGUGAGUGAAGAAGGCCUUCGGGUUGUAAAGCUCUUUUGUCAGGGAAGAAACGGUAGGGGCUAAUAUCCUUUGCCAAUGACGGUACCUGAAGAAUAAGCACCGGCUAACUACGUGCCAGCCGCCGCCGUAAAAC